rnacentral:rRNA from 1 species
GUCUUUUUGAUUUUAAUUUAAAGUUUCACCUGCCCAUUGAAAAUUUUUAAAAGGCUGCGGUAUUUUGACUGUACAAAGGUAGCAUAAUCAUUAGUUUUUUAAUUGAAAACUUGUMUGAAUGGUUGGAUGAGAAAUUAACUUUUUUAAAAAAAUAAUUGAAUUUUACUUUUUAAUUAAAAGGUUAAAAUAAAUUUAAAAGACGAGAAGACCCUAUAGAGUUUUAUAAUUUAUAUUUAAUAUUUAAAAAGAUUAAUUAAAAUUUUAUAAAAGAAAAUAUUUUGUUGGGGUGAUAAUAAAAUUUAAAUAACUUUUAUUUUUUUUUACAUUAAUAUAUGAAUUUAUGAUCCAUUAUUGAUGAUUAGAAAUUUAAAUUACCUUAGGGAUAACAGCGUAAUUUUUUUUAAAGUUCAUAUUAAUAAAAAAUUUUGCGACCUCG